rnacentral:rRNA from 1 species
CAGUAGCCGCGGGAAUACGGAGGGUGCAAGCGCUAAUCGGAAUUACUGGGCGUAAAGCGUGCGUAGGCGGUUCGUUAAGUCUGUUGUGAAAGCCCCGGGCUCAACCUGGGAAUGGCAAUGGAUACUGGCGAGCUAGAGUGUGUCAGAGGAUGGUGGAAUUCCCGGUGUAGCGGUGAAAUGCGUAGAGAUCGGGAGGAACAUCAGUGGCGAAGGCGGCCAUCUGGGACAACACUGACGCUGAGGCACGAAAGCGUGGGGAGCAAACAGGAUUAGAUACCCCCGUAGUCCCUGUCUCUUAUAA